CGUUGGAGGUGACUGGUCGUGCCCGGCGUCUCCAGGUACCGAUCUGCGCGCUCCGUCCACCCCGGUUGUUUUCGCACCUGCCGCCCGAGCCGGCGAUCCUCCCUCGCCCGCUCUCCGCUCGCCCUCAGCCAGUCCCCGAGAUCCUCCAUGUCGCUCCUUGCGCGCCUCCACCGCUCUAGGCCGAGCCCCCGCGCCCCUCCUGGGACGACUGCCACGGCCUCUUACCGGCCUCCCGUCCCCAAGCUCGCGCAGACGCCAGCGCGUGGCUGUCCUCUGAAAGCCCUGGGAAGUUUGACAUUUAAGUGAUGUUGUGAAAGUAUUUGAAGAGAUGAUUAGAGAGGAGGCGUAAGGAGGUGUGAGGAAACCUCUCGGGUUGGGAGAGCAAAUUGACUUAGAUCCUUGGGUUGGUUUGGAGGCGCUGCGGGCGUGAGGUUUGGGGUCAUGAUAUGACAGUGAAACUAAUCAACCCGGUUUUGUUGUUCUCCAGCCACGUCCGGCCGCUUGGAGUGGCCAAAUGAACUGAUGUUUUGAUCUGGGAGCGCAGCAAAGGGAGGGGGCAAGGGAAUGGCGAUUCUCCGCCGUGGAUCCAGAAAUGAUGAGACAUGAAGGGACAUGAAGGGGUGGCGGCAGUGGAAAGAGAAAAAAGCUGAGAACCAGACGCUCAGAAUACUUAAGGACCCUCGGGCGCAGUGUAUGGGAGGGACAGUGCGUGACUGCAAGAAGGAAGCAUUUACUUGGAAGGACCUGGGGGUUGAGGGAUGAAUGAGGACGAAUGAGGGCAUCUCCCCCCGCUCCCCGCACUCUGCUCUGUACGUAUUUGAAUAUAUGCAGAACAUAAAUCCAGGAAGACAUACACUGAAAUUUGGCAGUGGGAAAGACGGCAUUUAUUUUAAUUUAUUUAUUUUAUUUAUUUUUGGCUGUGUUAGGUCUUCGUUGCUGCACGCGGGCUGCGGGCUUUCUCCAGUUUUGGCGAGCAGGGGCUACUUUUCAUUGCGGUGCAUGGGCUUCUCAUUAAGGUGGCUUCUCUUGUUGCGGAGCACGGGCUCUAGAGCACAGGCUCAGUAGUUGUGGCGCACGGGCUUCGUUGCUCCGCGGCAUGUGGGAUCUUCCCGGACCAGGGCUCGAACCCGUGUCCCCUGCAUUGGCAGGCAGACCCUCAACCACUGCACCACCAGGGACGCCCCGGAAAGAGGGCAUUUAUGGGUGGUAGGGUUAACAGUGCUUUGAAUGCCCGUUAUACUUUUUUGAAUUCCUUAACUUUGUAUUUUAUGAUGAACAUGUAUUUUCUCUUACCCCCACCACAAAUAAUAGCGCUGUUUACAUUUUGAAAGGAAGGCCCCCUCCAUGGCUUCCCCAGUAUGUGCUCCUGAAUUCAAAGACUUUAUGGUCUGACGGUACCGGUGCAAUACCGAGCUCUCCUACCUCACCUCUCCCUGCUUCUUGUUUAGAACUUAAGGGAGCACCAGCUGGAAACUGUCCCAUGCCUUUCUUACCUCUGCGUACGCCACCUCCAUACCUCAAGUUGUAGUCCAGGCACUGAGAUUCAGAUAGAUGUCACCAGCCUCAAGAAAGCUUACCUGCGUCCUCCUCUUCUCCUGCUGGCCUUUCUCUGCUCCCAGUACCACCCUCAACUUAACUCUUAUGGUUCUGAACACUGUUAGCAUUCUGUGCAUCUCUACCCCACUGCAUUCAUAGACUCUGAGCUCCAAAGGGCUAGGGACUCCACUUCCAGCCCAGAUGGCUUUUUUGCCUUAUGUGUGGUGCAUUUAGAAAUGUUCCUCUAGAGGCACUCACUGAGUACUCGUCGGGCAGGUACAUGAGGGAGAAGGUGCCCAGGUGGUUGUCAGAGCCCUCUGUGCACUGUCUGUGCUUAUGCUACCAGCAUCUGAUGAACUUUAUACUUUCAUCAUGAUGUGGGAACCCCAAGCUGAAAUAUAACUAGCCUUGGGAACUUCCCUGGUGGCGCAGUGGUUGAGAAUCCGCCUGCCAGUGCAGGGGACACGGGUUCGAGCCCUGGUCCAGGAAGAUCCCUCAUGCCUCAGAGCAAAUAAGCCCAUGCGCUACAACUACUGAGCCUGCGAGCCACAGCUACUUGUAAGGCCAACUGGCCCGAGGCAGGGGAACGCAAUCAGACUCACAGGAUGCAUCAGACCGAAACUUUCCGGACCACCCAGUUCCAGAAACUCACCUGGAGACUUUCCGGACCACCCAGUUCCAGUGGGGACUUUCCAUCCGGCCCAGCCUUCCCGCCAUUCGAGGGGCGGGACUAACGGUCCCAAGACUGAUGCAACCGGCACCGGAUAUUGCCACGAUACCCGAAGAGACCACCAAAUAAGGAAUAACCUGCGCCCUCCCGGAUUCACCACACCCCUUUCCCUUCUUCCCCUAUAAAUUCUUACCAAACCCUCGCCCGGGGGCGACUUCUCUGGCCCCUUUCUCUGGGACCAGUGAACCUCGCCCGGGAGCGUUCCCAAAUAAAGCUUGUUUAAGCUCUC